rnacentral:lncRNA from 1 species
AAUAAAACACCCUUCAUACAGAAACACACUUCCGUGUAAACUCCAUCAUCUCACCUUUUAACUUCAUUUUCCUUUUUCCAGCUUCAAAAACACACCUUCACUCCUACUUUCUUCCAAAAAAAACUCACUCGUUAAAUUUCCACGUGAACUCCCUACACCUCAACUUUCCAUCUUCUUACUACACCAUAAAACAUCAUAACUACACAAACCACCUUCAACAUAGCUCACACCAUAAAGCUCAUCUUCUUUCAAACUACAAAUUCACACUUCAUUACCCUUGCUCAACUUGACAAUAUAACAUGUUAACCUUUCAUUUUCUUCAACAUAAAACCGAAAACCAUCACUAAACCGUACUCAACAGCUCCCUCAAUUUUCUCUGACGACGGAUUCUAAACGAAGAACACCAAACAGCCUCAACAAACUUCUGCCGCUUCAACAUUUCGACGAAGAUCCGCCGCGUCUCUGUGCCGACGAGUCUGCCUGCCUCUAUUUCCUCCAUCGUCGGUACUGUUCACAACGACUUUGUUGCCACCGUUCGUUUCAUAUUCAAUAUAUUCUUUUCAUGACGCAUUAUCCAUUGAAUUUGUUUCC